UACGUAGGAUGCGAGCGUUAUCCGGAUUUAUUGGGUUUAAAGGGUGCGCAGGCGGCACGGCAAGCCGGCGGUCAAAUCGCGGGGCUCAACCCCGCCCAGCCGUCGGAACUGCCGGGCUAGAGUGGGCGAGAAGUGCGCGGAAUGCGUGGUGUAGCGGUGAAAUGCAUAGAUAUCACGCAGAACUCCGAUUGCGAAGGCAGCGCACCGGCGCCCUACUGACGCUCAGGCACGAAGGCGUGGAUAUCGAACAGG
rnacentral:rRNA from 1 species